rnacentral:tRNA from 1 species
GGGUGAUUAGCUCAGCUGGGAGAGCACCUCCCUUACAAGGAGGGGGUCGGCGGUUCGAUCCCGUCAUCUCCCACCA